GUUCUAAGACUCCUUUGCGACUGAAAUCCCACAGUUCAUCCUCAGCAAGACGUGGCCGGAGGAACCACGAGCACAGUAGAGCUGUUGCAUGCGCAUCUGACCAUGGCUUCUCUUUGGAGCUCACUGGAAAAAGAGGUGUUCAACCCACAGAACAAGAAGCUGCUGGAAGCCAUUAGUGUCUGGAAGACGGGGAAGAAGAAGAAGAUGUCCAUUCUCUGUGUAGUGGUGGAUGCCUUUAGGCCAAUGCAGCCGUUUCUGGUGAAGGUCAAGGUAGACCGAGGAGAG
rnacentral:lncRNA from 1 species